CACGUAGGGUGCGAGCGUUGUCCGGAAUUAUUGGGCGUAAAGAGCUCGUAGGCGGCUGCUCAAGUCGAAUGUGAAACCUCGAGGCUUAACCUCGAGCCUGCAUUCGAUACUGGGCGGCUAGAGUCUGGUAGGGGGAUCUGGAAUUCCUGGUGUAGCGGUGGAAUGCGCAGAUAUCAGGAGGAACACCGGCGGCGAAGGCGGGUCUCUGGGCCAUAACUGACGCUGAGGAGCGAAAGCGUGGGGAGCGAACAGG
rnacentral:rRNA from 1 species